CAUAUCUAAACCACACAAAAGAUUGAACGAAAAGGAAACUCAACAUUAAUUACUAAUAGAUUAAUAUUUCGAGCAGACUCUGAUCUAAAGUUGUACGGAAUAGCCAAAAAUUUGCGGCAAAAUUAGUCCCGAUCAGUCAAACCAAAGCAUAUUCAUAUAAUCCAGUUGGUUUAAUUAGCGUGCAGAUUUCGUCCGUACAUACAAUAGAGACGAGCGCGAGUUGGACGAUCAGGAAGUCGGAGAGUUUUCCUUGUUUUUGGAUGCAUUUAUUGUUCUAUUAGGACAGCCUUUGACGGACUAAGGUUACCUCUUCAUGUAUACAUUUUUUUCAAACCAGAAAAAAGAGUAUAUGAAGCAUAUGCUUAAAAAAGGAAGGAAUGUGGCUACGUGCCACAAGCUGCCAUAUCAUUCAAGACAGUUGGUCUUUGCUGCGCAAAUGUUUUCGAAAGUUUUUGGCCCCUUUUUUUCUAUGAGGCGGAAAGAAUUUGUUACCAAACUGAAAUGGAAACGCGAAAUGUCAAAACAACAAACGAAAAUAGCUCUCGGCUUGGAAAAUUCACGCAGGUGUACUUCGAUUUUAAACACUGCACUAGUAGAUAGGUGAUUCAAGACUAUCUCUUCAAACAAUCACAAAUAAAAUUUUAAAGACCGGAUGAGAAAAAUUAUCGUGCUUACAUCAACUUAUUGCCCGUGGCGAAAAAAACCAAAUGGCGAAAGAUUUACAUCUUAAGCCGUUUCAUAUCUAUCGAUAUCUUAAUGCAUCGGGAGACAUGAAGAUGGAUAUCGAAAAUGAAGCAAAAACUUUCAAAGCAAUAACAAUGAACUAUAGGGUUUUGCAAAUUAGACGACAAUCUAUCGAUGGCGUGUUUAAAGUGAUAAGUGCCAUUUUGCAGCUAAGAAAUUUGCUGUUUGCAAAUAUAGCCGGGAGCGUUGCGAAUUUCUAGACGAGGAUAUCGAAAGUUGGGGACUGAUAUUGGAACCCACGUAUUACAGCAUCGAUAAAUUAAUGUUCGCCGGAACGCAGCCGAAAUACCACUCAAGUCGCAAGAGGCACAUAAAAACACUUUCUCUAAUCUGGUUUACGCCGCUAUUUAGGUUGAAAUUAUUGACUCAACUUUACAAAAUUUAUACGUUCUGAAAGGAAUAUUUGCAAGCAGUGCUAUCAAAAAACAAUAAAGUGAGGAAAUUUAUUUGAGAGUUUGAAGUAAAAUUCUCGUUUUCUUGUAGGAAAGUUGAAAGUUUCAAGUUAAUUAACAUAUACAUUUAGGAAGAGACUUCCUUUAAGAAAAUGAUGGACAAAAUACAUCAACUAUUUGACUCCUGAGGAAGUUAGUAAAGAAAACUUAACUUUCAAUAGAUAUAAAAAAUAAUUGGCUAGAGAAAAUUCGAAUAAGUUGACUUCAACAAACUUUUUAAAUGUUUCUUGUUAGAAAAGCGGUAAUUUCUUUUUUAACUUAUUAUAGUGCGUUUCUCGUUUAUCAGUUGCACAGCUAAAUUCCAAUCGUUAUCAACGGUAUCCUUAAGGCUAUGUAAAAAUUAGAUAGCUAUUGCAAACCCCGCAAUUCAGCAAAUGAAGGCUACACACAACAGUAGGAGAGAACUUUACAUUUUAUUAGGCCUUUCUGACAAUUUCAUCGAAAAGGUAUGAGAACUCAAUCUGCAGUUUAUAUUGAAAAAAUGAAUGGUUAGUAUUGAUUGAAGGCGUAUUUAAUUAAAGGCAGUAUUAAUUUAGCAUUUACUGUAGAACAUUCAUGAAAUUUCAUCAAUAUAGCAGAGACCGUCGCAGGCAUCAUUAUCGACAUUGAACUUAUCAAAGGCAUAACAGCUUGACCAACUAUCAGUAUAAAAUAAUACAAAUUGGCAUUUGUAAAUGCCAAAAGAUACCUAUUAGUAAAUCUAUUACCUUUCCAUGUGUUCUAAAAAAAUUUUCAACAAUACCUUAUAUUAGGUUGU